AGGGGCAGCCUAAUGGAUAGCAAUAUCUAUGGUGGCGACCGGCGCACGGGUGCGUAACGCGUAUGCAACCUACCUUUAACAGGGGGAUAACACUGAGAAAUUGGUACUAAUACCCCAUAAUAUCAUAGAAGGCAUCUUUUAUGGUUGAAAAUUCCGAUGGUUAGAGAUGGGCAUGCGUUGUAUUAGCUAGUUGGUGGGGUAACGGCUCACCAAGGCGACGAUACAUAGGGGGACUGAGAGGUUAACCCCCCACACUGGUACUGAGACACGGACCAGACUCCUACGGGAGGCAGCAGUGAGGAAUAUUGGUCAAUGGACGCAAGUCUGAACCAGCCAUGCCGCGUGCAGGAUGACGGCUCUAUGAGUUGUAAACUGCUUUUGUACGAGGGUAAACGCAGAUACGUGUAUCUGUCUGAAAGUAUCGUACGAAUAAGGAUCGGCUAACUCCGUGCCAGCAGCCGCGGUAAUACGGAGGAUUCAAGCGUUAUCCGGAUUUAUUGGGUUUAAAGGGUGCGUAGGCGGUUUGAUAAGUUAGAGGUGAAAUUUCGGGGCUCAACCCUGAACGUGCCUCUAAUACUGUUGAGCUAGAGAGUAGUUGCGGUAGGCGGAAUGUAUGGUGUAGCGGUGAAAUGCUUAGAGAUCAUACAGAACACCGAUUGCGAAGGCAGCUUACCAAACUAUAUCUGACGUUGAGGCACGAAAGCGUGGGGAGCAAACAGGAUUAGAUACCCUGGUAGUCCACGCAGUAAACGAUGAUAACUCGUUGUCGGCGAUACACAGUCGGUGACUAAGCGAAAGCGAUAAGUUAUCCACCUGGGGAGUACGUUCGCAAGAAUGAAACUCAAAGGAAUUGACGGGGGCCCGCACAAGCGGAGGAACAUGUG
rnacentral:rRNA from 1 species